CGGGCUGGAAUAUUAUUGCCAUCUUUUCGCGGGGCUGCUGAAAGUACUUUUCAAAUAACAACAACAGAUGAAGAAAAUACGCGUGGCGGGACGACAGGCCGGAGAGGCACGGCGGCCUGCAAAUGAGGGCGACGAGUGGACAACAAAGAAAAAAAAACUCAUCACGUCAACUUUAUUUGUGUGUGUUUGGUUAGCAGUGACUUUGUUAGCAGAGGUGCUCCGGAUCGGCUGCGGUGGUGGUCCCGGUGCAUGCUGCGAUGUGACGCCGCUUCCCCCUGCUCGCGUCCGGGCCGGCUAACUCGCUAAGGACACGAUCCAUGUCCACAUCUCCACGGUCACAGGACUCGGCUUAGUGCGGUAGCCGCGGCGCUCGGUGUGAUUUUCAUGCUUGUGGCUCAUAUUCAACCCCGGGUGUCAAAAUCGCGCCGAUGGAGGCAUAGUGACGCGCAUUAUGUGCACCUUGUCCCGCGCCACAAACUUUCACAAGCUGGACUCGAAGCCGUGCACGCGAGCUGCUCCGCGUGAGGACAUUUGGAUGUAGCCACGCACGCGCGCACACGCAGGACCCUGCUUGGCCACACAGUGCGGCAGCACACACGGAGGGAGCAUACGCAUCA